rnacentral:lncRNA from 1 species
AUAUUGACACAGCACUUUGGGGUUGGAUACAUAUAUCCAAGUAAAAUUGGUUCUAUAAGGAUAAAUAUUUGUCAUGAGGUGCUGUCAUUUGACUUUGGGCUUAGCCAAUCAUGGCAGAGUAGGCUGGUUGCUUUUUAGAGAGAGUGCAUUGUCCCGGGGUCUCAUGUUGGAGUUACAAUGCUUUGGAGUGAUCAUAGAGUUACGCUCUUUGUGAGUCUUGUAAGUUUUUUAAACUAAUAAAACUCUUAUUGUCUCUCUCUCCAAUUUUACUCUUUUGCAUAUAUAUUCCAUAUACAUUGGUACUUGUUCAUAUUGAUCCUGUGCAUUGGAUGAUCCUCCUAUGUAGUGAUUGUUGUUGUUCAACAAACAUCUCCAUUAACUAACCAUCUUUUUCUUGGUUUUUGUCUCACCUCAUGGCUUUUUUAGACAAGUCUCUAUUGCUUGAGUCUAGUGCACACAAUGGGAAUUUGACAUUUUCUUUAAUCUUCAUUCUUGAUAUUACUUGUUCACUUUAGACAUUGUGGUUGGGUUAUCCUGAUUCCAAAAUUCCACCAUCUUGCUUCAAAAGCUCGAAGCUGUUUUUUAUGGAGGGCAUCUUCAAUAAACCAGGAGCAUCUUUGUGUUCAAACUUCCCUCUUUCUUAUAAAGUAGCUUUGAAUUUGUGACCAUCAUCAUGUUUAUAUCUCAGUCUUAAACUAGUUAAAUCUGCAAUCCUUCCAUUUUGUUUGAGCAACACCACCUGUUUAAAUGCCCCCAUAUCCUAGUUAUUCGGAGUUUGGACUCUUGUACACUACCCUAUAGAUUUGUUUGUUGUCAGUGGCUUAUCCCUCAGCCCAAACUGCAUGCAUGAUCAUGCCCUUGUACAAGCUGUUCCGAAAGGUAGUGUUUGAAAUCUCGACGCUGAUGCACAGCCACUAGAAGUG